UACAGGGGGGGCAAGCGUUGUUCGGAAUUACUGGGCGUAAAGGGUUCGUAGGUGGCCAACUAAGUCAGACGUGAAAUCCCUCAGCUUAACUGGGGAACUGCGUCUGAUACUGGAUGGCUUGAGUGCAAGAGAGGAAUGCGGGAAUUCCAGGUGUAGCGGUGAAAUGCGUAGAUAUCUGGAGGAACACCGGUGGCGAAGGCGGUCUGCUGGGCAGUAGCUGACACUGAGGCGCGACAGCGUGGGGAGCAAACAGG
rnacentral:rRNA from 1 species